rnacentral:piRNA from 1 species
UGGCUGGCUUCCUUUAAACCCGAAAGACC